GACGAACGCUGGCGGCGUGCUUAACACAUGCAAGUCGAACGGAAAGGCCCUGCUUUUGUGGGGUGCUCGAGUGGCGAACGGGUGAGUAACACGUGAGUAACCUGCCCUUGACUUUGGGAUAACUUCAGGAAACUGGGGCUAAUACCGGAUAGGAGCUCCUGCUGCAUGGUGGGGGUUGGAAAGUUUCGGCGGUUGGGGAUGGACUCGCGGCUUAUCAGCUUGUUGGUGGGGUAGUGGCUUACCAAGGCUUUGACGGGUAGCCGGCCUGAGAGGGUGACCGGCCACAUUGGGACUGAGAUACGGCCCAGACUCCGACGGGAGGGAGCAGUGGGGAAUAUUGCACAAUGGGCGGAAGCCUGAUGCAGCAACGCCGCGUGCGGGAUGACGGCCUUCGGGUUGUAAACCGCUUUCGCCUGUGGCGAAGCGUGAGUGACGGUAAUGGGUACAGAAGCACCGGCUAACUACGUG
rnacentral:rRNA from 1 species